AAGAGCCGUAUGACGGGCGACUGUCACGUACGGAUCUGUGAGAGCCGAGGGGUGAGAGUCCCCUCGGCUACUCGGC
rnacentral:ncRNA from 1 species